UAGCAGGAACUACACAAAGUCAAACUGGGUAUAAGCGGGACCACUGCAUUAUGGGUAGCAGGAACUACACAAAGUCAAACUGGGUAUAAGCGGGACCACUGCAUUAUGGGUAGCAGGAACUACACAAAGUCAAACUGGGUAUAAGCAGGACCACUGCAUUAUGGGUAGCAGGAACUACACAAAGUCAAACUGGGUAUAAGGAGAUGUACUGUAUUAUGGGUAGCAGAAACUACGCAAAGUCAAACCGAAGAUAAGGGGACCACUGCAUUAUGGGUAGCAGGAACUGUGCAAAGUCAACCAAAGAAUCUAUUCUCAGCAUGAAACCAGCAUCUUGUUCUGAGGUCCUGGGGCAUCACUCCUUCCUUUAAGCCCCCACCAGCUCCAGUCACACCCACAGCAGCAGCAGCAGCAGCAGCAGCGACAACAAAAGUCUUCACUUCCAGACCUGGGACUCGGAACCUCCCUGGUCCUCUCUCUGUGCAGAUCAGAGUUGGUACUACCCUGUACCCCAGGUCUACAACAGCUGGAGGGCCUUCAAACCUCUAAAACCAGUUCUGUCUGGUAGGAGUGUGCUUGUCUCAUAUAGCCACCUCUCCUGAGGUGACCUCAGUAAGGUGGUCUGGGACAACUGUCAUCUGUGAGAAGAGAGAAAUGACAGUAUCUACCUUCUUGUAGGCACAUACCUACAACCCCAGCGCCCAGCGAGGCCGAGACUAGCCUCAGCUAUGAGUCCAAGAUCAGCCAGAGCUAAAUGAUACCCAUUUUCAAAACACAAUAAAGCAACAAGAAAAAGCCAACCUCAGCAUCUACCUCAUACAGUCGCGAGUAGCACACUGAAAGAGUUUAAUGUCUGCUAGCUGUCUUAUUAUGGCUUUGAAAUACUUCACUGUAUUAUCAAUAAACCUUGGAGCAA